GUUAGGCCUGGUUGCUGGAUUACCAAAAACUGUGUUUAUAAAUACGAAGUUUCAAGUAGGACAAUUAUCUUAAACUCCUAUUUGCCAUUUCGAUUUUUAAGGCAAAGCACUCAUUUUAAUAUUGUGGUUUGCUUUUUCAUUUAGUUAGAGUAAAUCAUAAUACCCUUGGGAAGAAAAGUUACAUUUUUCACUAAAAAUGAUGAAGGGCAGUUGGUUUUACAUGACCAUGACCCUCAGUACAUCAUAGAAAGCCUUCAGUUCUCUCUAUGGCAGUUGCCUGAAAUUGACAUGUGAAGAUGUGCCAAUCACAUAAAAUGGCUUUGGGCCACCACCAGUGAUAUGUAGCCCUAUUUUACAUGUGAUAGAUAAAAUUUUGUGCUCAUCUUUCACACCCACUGACGAAAUAGAGGUGGGUGGAACAGGGAGAUUAGAGAUGACUUUGUGCCAAAUUAAAAAAAGAAAAUGUAAGCAGCUAGAGAUCAUUGUUUUUCUCCAGAGAACCAGACUGGCCCUCAGAAACCCCACAGAUUGCCCCAGUUUGGCUCUGUGUUUUUGUCCCUAUGAGGAAGAUGAACUAUAGCAUCAUCAUAUUCCUUGGUGCUGCUGAGCAGCCCUAGAUUCGUUCCAAACACAGACUGAUUUGAAGCUCGUUAGAAGCGCUGUUGUAGACACUUUGCCCAUGCACCAAACACAAGGCACUGUCGAGGCCAACGUCAACCAGGCAGAUGUGUGCCCAGAGAUUUUUCUGUGGUUUCAUGUUUCCCGUAAAGAGAGUUGGGGAAGUGCAUAGAUGAAGACCUUCCUUUGUAACCAGGCACUUUCGGCUUCUCCUCAGUGACUGCACUGUGGAGCUCUUCUUGAGAAAAAAUUGAGUAACAGCUUAAUGCUUUCAUAUAGUGAUCGUGAUUUUAUCUGAAAACUACUGCUGCACAGCAAUUAUCGUGACUCUUCAUGUGUCCACAGGAGCUUCUGUCUGGGUUUAAAGCUAUAAAGUGUAUUCACAUUGUGAAGUUUUAAUUCUCUUUAUUGAAAUUAAUUGUGUAAGAACUGUAUGUGCUCUAUUAGGUAUUAAGUUUGUAUGUGAAUUCUGUAUAGAAAGUGGUUUUUGUUCUUUGAGUUAAUCUUGUUUUAUUUUUUGGAGAUUACAAUAAAUAUCUAAGAGACUAUAUUCCUGAA
ensembl:lncRNA